rnacentral:rRNA from 1 species
AAAUUUGAAAUCUGGCGCAAGCCCGAGUUGUAAUUUGUAGAGGAUGCUUCUGGCCAGCGGCCGUUCUAAGUUCCUUGGAACAGGACGUCAUAGAGGGUGAGAAUCCCGUAUGUGACCGGCGCGCAGCCUUUCCGUAGCUCCUUCGACGAGUCGAGUUGUUUGGGAAUGCAGCUCUAAAUGGGAGGUAAAUUUCUUCUAAAGCUAAAUACCGGCCAGAGACCGAUAGCGCACAAGUAGAGUGAUCGAAAGAUGAAAAGCACUUUGGAAAGAGAGUUAAAAAGCACGUGAAAUUGUUGAAAGGGAAGCGCUUGCAACCAGACUUCGUAGCGAUGUUCCGCCGGUCUUCUGACCGGUCUACUCAUCGUCGCGAGGCCAACAUCGUCUGGGGCCGCCGGAUAAGACCUAAGGAAUGUAGCUUCCCUCGGGAAGUGUUAUAGCCUUUGGUGAUGCGGCGCGUCUCGGGCGAGGUCCGCGCUUCGGCAAGGAUGUUGGCGUAAUGGUUGUCAGCGGCCCGUCUUGAAACACGGACCAAGGAGUCUAACAUCUAUGCGAGUGUUCGGGUGUCAAACCCCUACGCGUAAUGAAAGUGAACGGAGGUGGGAAGCGCAAGCUGCACCAUCGACCGAUCCUGAUGUCCUCGGAUGGAUUUGAGUAAGAGCAUAGCUGUUGGGACCCGAAAGAUGGUGAACUAUGCCUGAAUAGGGUGAAGCCAGAGGAAACUCUGG